UCCCCCUACUUCCCCUUCCCCUUUGAAUAUUUUCUUCCUGUUUCACAGUAUCUGUUAAACAUUUUUGUCCUCAUUUACACUUUCAGUUUCUCACACCAGAGAAACAAUACCAAAUUGUUGGUAUUUAGUAAUUUUUCUGACUUUACACAGGUUGCAAAAGUAUGACUAAAAUCUUUUCUUGAGAUCUUGGUGCCCACUCUCUUGGCUAAUAGACAUACAGCCUCUGCUGUGGAGGCCUUUGGUAAGUUAGCUUAAUUUACAUCCCAGAAAGCUUUGCAAUGUUUUUCUUCCCAUUUGUCUUCUUCCUAGUCACUCAUCUUGACCUACUCUUUAAUCUCUCCAUGUAGGUUAAAGUCAAUUAGAAAGGUGACAUGAAUUGCAAACUCUGUAGUUGCAUCCAUAUUUCCUAAUGGUACUUCAUAUCCACCUAUGUAAUUCUUCCAUUCUUAUACUCAGGCAUUUAUUCACUGAGAAUACAAAGAUGAGUUGACCUACUCAUUGCUCUUUUGAGUUAAAGGUUCCUGUUUCUGAGGCUUGGGAACAAAGCAGGCUGGCACUGAUGUCUACUCAUUUUCUAUUGCUGUCAUUGGAUAUUUUCAUCCCUUACUUAAGGCCUGACAGAUCCCUGUAACCUAUUUCUGCUCACCAAGUUUUACCCUUCAUUGGAUAACUCAAAUUGUGUCUAUGAAAGAGCAAAACAUUCAGAGACAAAAAUAGGUAAAGCUUUGAAUUCAGAAAUGUAAAAAUUCUAGACUGGAAGAUGGCCAGGAACCAUGAAGUUCAUAAGUAAUAGCCGAAGGCACAGCAAGUACCUUGGUAUAUGUAUGUCUCCAGGAGUGUUCAGAAUUAGACACUUAAUUUGAAACAAGUACUGUUCUAUCCACACAGCUGGAAGAAGUAUGAAAUCAAGGACCUGAUCUGUCCUAUGCCUCCUGCAAGCAGAAUGAUGUUAAUCAGCAAAUGAUACUGUGGGUUCCAGUUCUCUUCAGACCUUUCCUUUGGAAGGACUCUGCAGAAUUGAUCAAUGCCCUAAAGAUGCAAAAUAUGAGGAACAAAAGGUUGGAAAACUUCCACAAGUAUCAGAAAUGUGAUUCAAACCCAGGGAAUCUGAUUGAUAUUUUAACCAUUAAAUUUAAACCAACAUGGAUUAUGUAAAGGUGCAAAUUUCCAAUGAUGAAUAUCAUUAUAUUGUAUACUGAAAGUGUACCAAUAAAAUUAAUUUAAAAAAUUUAAUGACCUCACCUAACAAAAGUGCUAAGUGUCUAUUGUUAAACACCAAAAUAAGACUUUAACUCUUUAGAAAAUACUAAUAAAAUUUGUUAGGUAAGAGGCCCAAAGUUGGUUACCUGACCUAAAUAAAAGAGAGAAGGAAGAGUUUCCAAAAGGAUGAAUUAAACAUGGAGCAUCAGAUAUGAGGCAAGUGGAGGAUAGAUCGAGACAAAUCAGAAAAGAGUCUUACCAAAUAGCUUGAAUUUCCUUUUGUGUAGAGUAGAUUACAUCAGUCAGCUUUCUAUUGCUUUGAUAAAAUACCACAGUCAAUCAACUUAAAAAGAAGAAAGAUCUUUUUUAGCUCUCAGCAUUCCUGGUUUCAGCCCACAAUCUGUUGACCCAUUGUGAUACUUACCUCAUAGCAGACAGAAAGCAAAAGAAAGAGGAGAGGCUGGGGUCCCAAUAUCCCCAGUGAUCUAAAACUGCCCACUAAGUUCUACCUCCCAAAGAUUCCACCACCUCCCAGUAGCUCUACAGGCUGAUGACUAAGCCUUUAGCACGCCAGCCUUUGAAGGACACUGAAGGUUCACACUAUGACACUGGCCUUAAGCAAGGAGUGAUUAGUCAAGAGUUUUGUGAAGAUUGCUGAGCAUAUAAGUGAAGAUGAUCCGAGGACACAACUCACAGGGAUGAGAGCUGCCAGGAGACUGAUAGUCCAGAGCAAGAGCUGCUACUGAGGAUGAUGGUGGCGAUCUUAGUCUGUUUGUACUGCUAUAAGAAAAUGCUACUGACUGGGUAAGUCAUAGACAAGGGAAAUUUAUUUGUUGUAAUUCUAUGGGCUGGAGUGUCCCAGAUUAAACCACUGGCAAUGGUGUCUUACAGGGGCAGCUUUUUUCUUCCAAGCAGCUUUUCUUAUAGCAGCACCUUGUUUCUAUCUUCACAUGGUAGAAAAUAGAAGAGCAAGAAAGCUAAAUGCUGAAGCCUUUUUAUAAAGUUAUUAAUUUCAUUCUGUAGAAUUCUACCCUCAUGCCUUAAUCACCUCCUAAAGGCCACAUCUCUUUAUACUAUCAUAUUGGUGAUCAAAUUUUAACAUAUGAUUUUUGAAGGAGACACAUACAUUCAAACCAUAACAAUAACAAUGAUGAUGAUCCUCAGAGAGGCUCAAACUAGGCAUCAGUAUUUCUGCCAUGGCCUAAUAUGGAACAUUCUCUGCACACCACACUGAAUUCUCAUUAUUCACUCAACUUCCAGCAUACACCAAGUAUCACCCAUAUAUCCUGUUUUGGAUAAGUGAAUUGCAAAUCAAGCCUGUAUUUCUUACAUUCAAAUGGGGCUGGCAUCAUCUUAUGCUGCAAUAAGUGAUGGUAAAGGGAUUUUGAUAUUUAGAUUGAAUUCUAAUAUUGCUUUGAUUACUAGCAUUAUUAAACCUCUAUUAAUAUACUUCAUUAAUUGUAUGAAUAAGGGAAAUACAAAGGCCAGAACAUGUUAGAAAAGAAAGGCAUCCAUACCUUUUCUGGGGUUAUUGUUGCUUAUCUUCUGAAGAACAAAUGGAUAUUUUAUUAUAAGCCUAGGAGGUAUUUAAAUGAAUGUUUUUUUCUUCUUUUGGCAGAGACCACUAUAUUUUCAUUUUUGUCUGAAACAAGCUUUAUUUAUUUAUUAUUUAUUUUUUAAUUUGCAAACUAGCCAGUCUCUGUCCUUGGUUCACUUCCUUGGAUGUUCCAUGGAAGUCAGUGGGAUGUGGAAUAAUUAGCUAACAGCUGAGACUGGCUGUGUUCCUAUGUGAUUAUUAUGGUAGGAGGCCAGACAGAACAAAGAGCUGCUUUUGUAUGAACAAUUUCUCUACAGCGUGAAUUUUAAAGGGGCUGCUUGGAGGAAAUGAUGACUCUAGCAGAUCUGUCUGGUCCUCCCUUUCCACUUUCUCCUGCCAAGCAGCCUAUUUUAUAGAUAGCUGGGAGAAAGACAACUAUAAAAAGACUGUACGAGGUGAGUGCAUGUGUAUAUGUAUGUGUAUGCUCUUUAGUGUGUUUGUGUCUGUGUGUAUGCAAUGUGUGGUGUAUGUGUAUAGUGUUUACAUCUGUGUAUAUAUUCAAGUUCAGGGCAAAAUAAGAAUGGCAAGGGAAUUCAAUGACACAGUUUCCCUUUACCUCCUUAGGUAAGCCACACAGCAGCUAAGUGUCUCAAAUUCAGCACAUUUCUCCUGGUUAGCAGUUGAUGCACCUGCGUCCCCCAGUGUACUAUAUGUGACCAGAGCACAUGAUCUAUGUAUUCUCAGUCUAUGCCCAGUGUGGUAUUCGGCACAGGAGAUCACAGUUGGUCGAAUUGACUAUGAUCAAAUCAAUCCCUAUUGAUUUGCAGUAGUUGCUUCUGCUCAUCUUACUUUGUUGCUCCAGAAAAUUCUCUCAAGCAUGGAAACAUGGUUGUUUUUAGUACUUAAGGUAGAUUCAAUGUUAAUAUGUGAGUCUUUAAUCACUGAUGAAUAGCAGUUCAUAUAAAAAACAUUCAGAUUGUUUGUAAGAAUAUUUAAACAUUUUUAAAUUUGUUAGAAUUCAAACAACUAGAAAUUUGAAACUCACUGGAAAUAUAAAAUAGUACAGUGAAAUGCUGUAUCAUCUGUUAAGGUUUCAAUAGUAAGUAUUCCUCAAACACUCAUGUAUUCAAGUCUUGGUCUCCAAUGCAGCAGUGUUCAAAGAUGGGGACUAGAGAGGUGACUGAUCAUGAGGGCACUAAUGCCAUCAGUGGAUUAAUCCUUUGAUGAGCUAGCAGAUUGGGCUGUUAGGAGUUGGGGCUCAAUUGGAGGAAAUAGCUCCCUGGAGGCAUGGGUUUUCAGAGAAUAUCUUAUCCCUGAUCUUUUCCUCCCCUGAUCCCUUGCUUUCUCUCUGCUUCCUGGCUGCCAUGAGGUGAGCAGCUCUCCUCCACCUUGCCCUUCUGCCAUGUUGUUCUGCCUCACCUCAGACCCUCAGCAAUGCAAUCAGCUAACUAUGGGCUGACAUGUCUGAAAAUAUGACCCAAAAUAAAUCUUUCCUCCUUUAGGUUGUAUAUGUCAUAUUUUCCCAGCAGUGGAAAGGUGACUAAAAUUCAUCCAUCAAAAUGCCAAGAAAAAACAAUGCCAAGAAUAAAAAAACAAAACAAAACAUGUACUCGUAGCUCUCAGAGAGGCUGAUGCAAGAAGAUCGCAAGUUGAAGCUUAGCCUAAACAAUUUAGCGGUGUGGUGAUUUGUAAUAAUGGAGAGAACAGCUGACUCCAGCCUUGAUUUUUUUGAAUUAAGGCAUAUUUUUAUUAACUUGUGCCUGAUAAAACAGCUACAAUUUGGCACUACUGUGAAUCUUUUCUUCUUAGAGAUUCUGUUAACAAAUUGGGUUGGACAUACCUCUUUCCUAAAGGGAGGUUUCAAAUAUUUAUGGGCUUUCUGUGUAUUUGUGCAUUUCUUUACUUGACUUUCCAUUAUUUGUGCAUUUCUUUACGUGACUUUCCAUUAUUUGUGCAUCCAUUUUUAUAUACUCUUAAAAAUCAAAUAUCUUUUGUAAAGAUUGGUCUUUAUUUUCAGACAUGGAUUUGUCCUUUAUAGUUUUAUUGAGUACAGUUGGUCAAAGGUGAUUGUAUUUGAUUUUAACCUUGCUACGUGGACAGUUAUGAUAGGGUUGUCUCUAUAACUUUAAGAAUAAUCAUUUUUACCACAUCAAUCUCUCUUUUCAGUCUAGAAAUGUCACACUAGAUCCUAUUGUGGAAAAGGUAUAUGGCAUGAUUGAAAUAUAGAGAGACUUGGAUUUAAAUCUUGGAUUAUUUUUGUUUCUAUUGCAAUAAAAUAAACCAUUUUAAAAUGAGACCAAGCAUGAAGCAAUACAUAUAGAAGUAUCUAGGAAGGUACUCAAUAAAAGUUAACUCCAUUAUUUUUGGCUUCUCAUUGUCUUUCCUUGCUCUGUUUUA